AAAAAAAAAAAAGAAUCACCUUUAAUACCUUUGUUCCAAAGCAGAUUAUCCGCCUGGUAGUUCAAACACCCAACCCCUAAACAACAGAACUGUUCUAAAAAGAUGUUACAAAAUAAUCCUUUUUUGAAAAAAAUAUCCACACCCUCCCCAACUUCUUCUUAAAAGAAGAUCCACUCUGCGGGGCAAUGGUGCAAACUGGUGGGCAGCAAAGGCCCAGCUGAUGACAGGAGAGGGCGUCCGGCCUCUGGCUGCACUGCGGGGAGGAAGACAGCGACCCCAAGGGCGCGUCCACGUAAGUCACAUGGGAGCUCCCAGGGCGCGGGUCCCCAGGACGCGCAGAGCAGCUCUGCGAAGGGAAAGCCCGGGAGACACCGGCGCAUGCACACGGCUUCCUAAAGGGCCACCGCGCCCGCUCCCCCCAUCAGGCAGUGCUCUUGGGUGCAUGUGCCCAACAGAGAAUAAUUCAUAAGUCUGUGGGUAAAGCCUUCUCUCCCAUUUACAAAACUGUAAUUUUGUAUAAGAAUAGAAAAAAAAAAUGUUCUCAUUUACUUUGUGACUGUUUCAAGUUUUAUGGCUUUUUUUUGGUCCCUCCCUGCAGUGGCCUGACACAGGAUCUCAGUGACAAGACCAGGGAUAGAACCCAGGCCGUGGCAGUGACAGCGCCAAGUCCUAACAACUAGACCGCCACACAACUCCCACGUCACCUGUUUUCCCAUUUGACUGAUGCAGAACUGUAACAGGGAGGCACCUACUAGGAGCUGGGGACGCCUCUGUCUGAGACCGGGUGAGUGACAAGGACCUACUGCAGAGCCGGGGGAGGUCUACUCGGUGCUGGGUAAUAACCCACGUGGGGAAGGGUCUGGAAAGAACUCGGGUAUGCCUGUCAUUCACUUGGCCUGACACUGACACCACUUCCGAAAUCAACUAUACUCCCAUAAAAUUUAAAAAAAACCCCAAAUGAUAACAUAUUAAGCCAUUCCUUACCUGACUCCUUCAUAAAAAGCUUUUUUUACACCUGGUGACACACCUUUCGUGCAUCCUGUUCGCCAUCACAGUGUACACACAAUGAAACCUUGCUCAGGAGACAAGACCCUCCACACAACCCCAUCACGCCACCCGCGGGUGCUAUUAACCCAAGACAAGUGAGAGCACGCGCACGCGAUGACCUUGAGGAAGCUCGCAGCAGCGUGACUCGCAAGGGCCCCAACCUGAAACCACGCACAUGACCACGACCGGGGCCUGGAUAGACACACGGCAGUCCAUCCAGACGGGGGCCACCACGAGGCAGUGAAACGGAAGGACUGCACCCCAACAAUGACCUCGAACACUCGGUGCUGAGCGAGGGCCAGACACCACAGACCGUACACUGCAGGAGUCCAUUCAUAUCAGGUUUUGGGAAACACACACCAGUCUGUGGUGACAAAAAGAUGCACAGGCGCCUGGAGUGGAGGGAGGGACGGGCUGCGAUCAGAUGGGACGAAGCGCUAGAGGGCAGUGCAGACGGACUGUCUCGACUGUGACGGUGGGGUCUGGGUGGUGUGCACAUCUGUCAGACGUCUCCCAGGGUACACUUUAAAUGGAUGCCAUUUAUGUAAUUUACACCUCAAAAAAGUAAUUAAAAAAAAAAAAAAAAGACAAGAAGAGGGAACCAGGAGAGUUUAUAGUAAAAAUUUAUGCGGAAAUGAAUGUACUUAUGAUGACAAAUCAAGACGUCUAAACAUCACCACUGGCAUCUUAGCUUGUGGUGGACGCCGUACGAAGCUCUCCAUGCUCGCUGACGAUGGCAUUGCUGGUGACACUCCCCAGACACCUGCUGAGUGUCGCCCCCCCGCCCUCCCCCCCGAUGUACACGGAGCACCUCACCGAACCCUUCGUGAUGACCUGUGAGGCAGGUACAACUGCGCUGUUAUCCCAAGCCCGUGCCCCUUAGAGGACUCAGAUUGCUGGCCCAAGGCAGAGGGUGACAGUAAACACUAAGGCUGGCGGAUGGAAGGUACCUAACAAUGCAUUUUGGAAAGAGCAUUAAACCAGUUAAUCAGGAGUUCCCUGUCGUGGCUCACUGGUUAACAAAUCUGACUGGCAUCCAUGAGGACAAAGGUUGGAUCCCUGACCUUGCUCAGUGGGUCAAGGAUCCAGCGUCGCCGCAAACUGUGGUGUAGGUCACAGAUGCGGCUCGGAUCCUGCGUUGCUGUGGCUGUGGCGCAGGCCGGCAGCCACAGCUCUGAAUGGACCCCUAGCCUGGGAAUGUCCAUAUGCCUCAGGUGCAGCCCUAAGAAAAAAAAAUUAAGCAAAAUGUAAGCUUCUUUCCACCAGCGUCCCUAAACAGGCACUGUUCUCCCUACCUUACAUAAAGGAAUUCUAAGACCUACCUGUUCAGAAUUAAAUCAUGGUUUGCGUGGACUCAUUUUCAAAAGUCUUGAACACAAUUUGUGGACACAAAUGUCUAUAAAAAGGCCUCGUCAGUCGCAAGGAGACAGAGAAGUGCUGAGAAGGCAGGAGAGCGAAGCUCCACCGCUGGCCUGGGCCCAGUAAGCACAAGGUGGGUGGAGAUGGGACGAGCUCUCACCUUAACUCUUCCGACGCCCUCUGAACUCAACAGAGAAAUACGCCUGGAUGAAACACGCACCAACCAGAAAAACCUGCUCCUUUUCUUAACGGCGUGCAGAACGUGGAACUCUGUGCGUGCCUCAAUUCCAAGACCCAGAGGGCCCAGCGCCUAACUGGGACUCUGUAAACAUCUGUUCAACCAACAAGAGAUGACCUGGGAAAGAAGCUGCUGUAAUUCUCAUUCUGAUUUAUACCAACACUAAACACUUAGAACGAAGCCACAUUAGCAACAAGAAAAGAAAGAAAAAAAUAUUUCAAUGCUACAUCAAAAAACUAAUGACUAGGAGUUCCCACUGUGGCUCAGCAGGUUAAGAACCUGACUAGUAUCCAUGAGGAUGCAGGUUUGAUCCCUGGCCUCGCUCAGAGGGUUAAGAAUCGGGCGUUGCCGUCAGCUGUGCGGUAGAUCACAGAUGUGGCUCAGAUCCCAAGUUGCUGCGGCUAUGGCGUGUAGGCUGGCAGCUGCAGCUCCAAUUCAACCCCCGGCCCGGGAACUUCCAUGUGCCAUGGGUGCAGUCCUAAAAAGAGAAGAAAACAAAACAAAACAAAACAACUAAUGACUAAAAAAAAUUCAGUGUUUGUAAGGAUAAAUCAACAAAUAUCAUCACAUACUAGUGUGACAUGUAAAUUGACCAACAAAAGAGGACAAUUAAACCAUGGUGCAACCAUAUUACCCAGCGUCUGGCAGAGGCAGGCCACCACGGGGCCCUCGCAUCACCGCGUAUCUCUCUUUCUAUCACAUUCUUUUGGUCAAGGAGACCACGGCGUGAACUGUGGCUCCCAGGGGAGGGGCUGGUGUGUCUGCUGCUACAGAAGGUGCUAAAGCCCUGGGUCCUGGGUCCUCAGCUGCAGACCAGCCCAAUUCAAGAGUGGCCAUCAUCUGGGCUCCUCCGGCCACUUGGUGUGGGGGAGGCAGCACCCCCGCCUGGGUUCCAGUGUCUGCUGGGCUCCAUGGGAUAAACUGCCUGGUUGUGACCCUUGAGGGCGCCUGCCUGUUUCCAGCCACUAGGGGGCGGUAGGGAGCCAGCCGGCUGCCAGCCCCGCCUUUGGGGUCUUUUCUUCUUCUGCAAGACCCCCGUGAAUGUGGGGGUCCUCCCCCCGGCAGAUGCCACUGAAAAUCGUCCAUAUUUAAAUUUUAAUGCUGAGAAAAAUACUUAUGCUUUGAAAAAAGCUACAAAACAGUCCACAGAAUGACUGGAACUAUUUUUUAAGCUUUUUCUGUUGCUGUUGUAAAUAAAAGCCACGUAUAAUCCCCAAGCUUCAGUUUAUCUAGUAAUUCCAAACUUUUUCCUUAUCAAACCUUACAUGUCACAAUUUUUCAGCAGUUUCCUGUGAAUUGCUGUCCCAUGCAGUGUCUCAUUUGACCUCGCAACAACUGCACGGCAGCGAGGAGAGAUACACCAAGGUCCACACCUCGCAGGGAAUCUACGUCCAGGAUGGAAGGAAGGGUCAGCUGAGUGUUAAGUGCAUUUUUCCAGCUGGAACCAUCUGACAGAUGUGGUUGUGCUUUAGGCCAUUCAGAAUUCCCCUCAGAGGGUUCUGAGCUUUCAAGCAGAGGUUUGUAAGAGACUCAGUGGAUCAAAAGAAGCAAAAAAUAACCAAGCGUGGGGUUUUUUCCCCCUUUGUUGUAGUUACCAAGUUGACCUGUCUCCCCGCUGCAGCUUCCCCCAGUGUCUGUGUGGUUUCCGUGCUGCCCCUCUGAGAAGACAUCUGCCCUUUGUGCUGCUCAGCGGCGGGGCAGCCCCAGGCCAGGCAACCCCCUGGAGCCCUGAUCUGCACUGCAGAGGAGGGACCUGCAAAGAGCCUCCCCUUUCCCACUCGGGACAUGGACUGCCAGGCACACAGUCCCAGUCACCUGCCAGAGUGUCUCCCGGGAGCCCUCAGCCUCUCCUUAGGGGCUGCUGGUGGAGGAUCUGAAAACGAAGCCAUCUCAGGAGGCUGCAGCUGCCCCUGUCCUUCUUACCUUAGCUCUUGGGCAAACUUUGAAAAGUUAACAUUAUGGGAAAUUUCCGACACGGGCAAAAGUGGAAGGAAGUGUGUAACAAACCCCCCAUGGACCCGUCACCAUGAACAUUUUGGUGCCGUUUCCUUUCCGUCUUUUUUUGAAAAACGCAUAUUCCCAUAUGUCUACCAAUCUUAAGUCCUUUUUGGAAAGUGUAGGAUUAAAAUAAAAAGCUUAAACCUCAGCUUCCAUCUUAAGAGACUAGCAAAAAGGAGAAAACGAAAUCAAAGCAAGCAGAAGGGAGGAAAAGAGAAGAGCAGAAAUCAGUGAAACAGAAAACAGAGCAGCCGGCCAGAAAAGUCCCCACUGUGGAGGGAAGCGGAUCAGCAGAGACGAGACAGGCAUCCACAGCGGGCACCACGUCUCAGCAGCGCGGUCAUGCCGAGACGAGCGGGCUUGGACCGCACGGGACAAGGAGCGCGGACGCGGGGUCUGGCCUGGCUUCUGGGUCUGGUCCUGUCGCUGACGGCCUCUCAUCCAAAUAGCUAGGUUUUCACAGCUUAACAAAGAAUGCGAUGGCAUUUUGCUAGUUUAAAAUGCUUUUUUCUAAAGCAAACGAAAAUCCCACUACAAGAGAUCUUAAGAUUUUACACAGAAGGGAAAAGUAAUUGUACACAGGAAGCAUCACACACAUCUUUCUAAAAGUUACAGACAUCAAAUGAGUCUGAUGACAGCCCUUCUUAAAUUAAAAUCCUCCCCAGGUGUCACCGUUAUUCAGCCACCCCCACUUGGAGUGACUGCCACGAAGACGUGAGGCCGCAAUACUUGUCUUGACACCUCGCACACUCCCUGGGAAACACUAAAGACAGCCCUGCCCGUCCCCCAGCCCCACCAGCUCUCCCCGACGCACAGUUUAGUUCUGGGGGCGGUGUUUACGAGGGUCACAGAAGCUUUUCUUUGCUUGUGCCAGUGUGACCGAUCAAAUGCUUUUGUUUAACAACCAGGACGCUUUGUCACUCGGCAUCGCACGGCCGCGCUCCACGCCCGCACACGCGGAGCCGGGCUCUCCAAAGCGCGCCUUCCUCGCCACAACGCAGGUCCACUGAGCUCCACGUCUCACUCGGUGGACACCCAGCGCCUCCGAGGGAUCGCGUCCGUCCCACCGUCUCCGACCCGUGAGAACCCCCGACCUUGGAUACCAAGCGGUUCCGAGGUCCUUGUUUUUUCCAAGUGGCAGCUCUCCAAGCACGGUUCAGCCCCGCAAGGACCGCUCCCUGCAGUCCUGCUGCUCCGGGCAGGAACUGGGGGAUCUGUAACCUACUUCCGUGUGGAAAUCAAGGGCCCUCGGGGAUGACACGGAGAACUAAAAGCACACGAACGUGCUGGGGCCAGUAAAACCCCUUUGAACUCACACUUUCUCUGUCAACGGCAUUCUUCCUCUAAGGAUAGGUUACUUUUAUAGUUCUUUAAGGGAAGCUGAAAUUCCUCUAUUAGAAUGCUAUAUAUACACAUGUUUAUAUGUUUCAGAAAAUGAGAGGUUACAGCAAGAUCAAAAAAGGGAAAGGACAGUAGUAUUUAGCCAAAAAUUCAGCUUCGUAUCCGUGAAACCUAUUCGGGGGGAAAUUAAGCCUUUAACACAAAUUUACGAAACAGCACUAGCACGCGUCAGGCUCCCUUGACGCAAGACACCCACCAUGUGACAUGAAGGAAAAAAGCAGAUGAUCUGGGAAAAUAAUCACCCAUGUCAUGCCAAUAUCUUCUUCCAGAAUAAUGAACUCCUUUUCCCUAUUCAGCUCCAUUGUUCAGGGAUGUUUCCAUUACCUGAAACCAAAAAAAUUCUCUCUGCCAGCAAAGUAAGCACAAAAACAUUCCUAAGAACGGGCGCAACAAUACCGC
rnacentral:lncRNA from 1 species